ensembl:lncRNA
GUAUAAUUGCUCAAAGCUUUUUAUUUUUAAUCCACCAGCCUAACUAGGCUCCAGCAGAGAAAUAUUUACAUUAACAUUUUUAAUAUUGGGCUCCACCUUUUAGGCAGUAUAUAUAUGGCAGUCAUGGACUGUAAGUUGAGUAGUGGUGGUCACAGUGUAUAUGUUAGUCAUGGACUGUAAGUUGAGUAGUGGUGGUCACAGUGUAUAUAGUAGACAUGGACUGUAAGUUGAGUAGUGGUGGUCACAGUGUAUAUGGCAGUCAUGGACUGUAAGUUGGAGUAGUGGUGGUCACAGUGUAUAUAGUAGACAUGGACUGUAAGUUGGAAUAGUGGUGGUCACAGUGUAUAUGGCAGUCAUGGACUGUAAGUUGGAAUAGUGGUGGUCACAGUGUAUAUGGCAGUCAUGGACUGUAAGUUGAGUAGUGGUGGUCACAGUGUAUAUGUUAGUCAUGGACUGUAAGUUGGAUUGUGGUGGUCACAGUGUAUAUGGCAACAUGGACUGUAGGUUGGAGUAGUGGUGGUCACAGUGUAUAUGGUAGUCAUGGACUGUAAGUUGAGUAGUGGUGGUCACAGUGUAUAUAGUAGACAUGGACUGUAAGUUGGAAUAGUGGUGGUCACAGUGUAUAUGGUAGUCAUGGACUGUAAGUUGAGUAGUGGUGGUCACAGUGUAUAUGGUAGUCAUGGACUGUAAGUUGAGUAGUGGUGGUCACAGUGUAUAUAGUAGACAUGGACUGUAAGUUGAGUAGUGGUGGUCACAGUGUAUAUGGUAGUCAUGGACUGUAAGUUGAGUAGUGGUGGUCACAGUGUAUAUAGUAGACAUGGACUGUAAGUUGGAAUAGUGGUGGUCACAGUGUAUAUGGUAGUCAUGGACUGUAAGUUGAGUAGUGGUGGUCACAGUGUAUAUGGUAGUCAUGGACUGUAAGUUGAGUAGUGGUGGUCACAGUGUAUAUAGUAGACAUGGACUGUAAGUUGGAGUAGUGGUGGUCACAGUGUAUAUGGUAGUCAUGGACUGUAAGUUGAGUAGUGGUGGUCACAGUGUAUAUGGCAG